UCUUCCUCUUCUAUAGGACUUUUGCUGAUGAGGUAAUAGUUCUUCAUUGCGCUGUUUCUUGUGUAAAUAUUAUUUCUAAACUUUCAUAAUACUUUAAAAGUUAAAACAUUAAUGUUGUAGGUAUAAGUAAUGUGUUGUUUUAAGUAUUUUUUUAUGCACAAUUUUGUUAAGUAAGGAUUAGAGCGUCGAAUGUUUGAAAUGUUUGGUCCUAAUUACACAUGGUAUUUACGCAGGUAUCACUCCGCCAGAAAAGUAGAGACCUGUGUAUGUGUUUCAUGUUUCCAACAAAGGUUUUGUAAAGGUUUUGUAUGCAGAAUCGAGCGAUUCCAAUAGGCUCGUCAAACUUGGACUUGGACGUGGAUUGUUUUCCCGAGGUGCAAAGCAAAUGGAGUGGAAACGGCGUGAAGGCGGGAGGAAACCGGAGUACCCGGAGGGAACCCACGCAGUCACAAGGAGAACAUGCAAACUCCACACAGAAAGAUCCCGAGCCCUGGAUUGAACUCAGGACUACUCAGGACCUUCGUAUUGUUAAGCACUUGCACUAACCCCUUUUCCACCGUACCUUAUAAUACUUGCAAAUGAGACAAAAGUGUAAGAAAACAAGUGGGCAGCACAGCUCAGUGUUAAAUGUUGAAUACAAAAAUUGAGAUAAUUGUUUUAAACAACAUGUAAUAGCACAUUUGAACACCAACAAAAAUACUGUACAGUACCCAUCCCAUGGUAAGACACAUGAUUCCCAAGUUUUACAAAGAUCAACAGUGGCCUCCUAAGGUCAUUUAAAGGCCUACUGAAAUGAGAUUUUCUUAUUCAAACGGGGAUAGCAGGCCCAUUCUAUGUGUCAUACUUGAUCAUUUCGCGAUAUUGCCAUAUUUUUGCUGAAAGGAUUUAGUAGAGAACAUCCACGAUAAAGUUCGCAACUUUUUGUCGCUAAUAAAUAAGCCUUGCCUUUACCGGAAGUAUGUGCGCGUGACGUCACCAGUGUGAGGGCUCCUCACAUCCUCACAUUGUUUAUAAUGUGAGCCACCAUCAUUAAGAGCAAUUCGGACCGAGAAAGCGACAAUUUCCCCAUUAAUUUGAGCGAGGAUGAAAGAUUUGUGGAUGAGGAUAUUGAUAGUAAAGGACUAGAAAAAUAAAUAAGAUAAAAUAAAAAGCGACGGCUCCGGGCGGCGGCAGUGUGAGCGUUUCAAAUGUAAUUAGACACAUUUGCUAGGAUAAUUCUGGAAGAUCCCUUAUCUGCUUAUUGUUUUAAUAGUGUUUUAGUGAGAUUGUAAAGACAUACCUCAAAGUCGGAUGGCUGCGGUGAACACGCCAGUGUCUUAGAGAGAAGCCGAGGAGCCAAGCUCACAGCUGCCUUUUUUGACAGCUACUGCAGGAGGACGCAUAAUCCACUGAUGUCUCCGGUAAGAUAUAGAUCACAAUUUUCCCAUCCAAAAACAUUCUGGUUGACAUAGAGAAACAUGUUCGCUUGACCGCUCUGUGUUAAAGCUUCACAACAAACAAAGAAACACCGGCUGUGUUUUGGUUUCUAAAGACAGCUGCAAUCAACCGCUUUCCACCAACACCAUUGUUCUUUAUAGUCUCCAUUAUUAAUUGGACAAAUUGCAAAAGAUUCAGCAACACAGAUGUCCAAAUUACUGUCUAAUUACGCGAUGAAAAGAGACAACUUUUAGCCGUAAGUGGUGCUGGGAUAAUAUGUCCCCUCCAACCAAUAACGUCACAAGCACUCGUCAUCAUUCCGCGACGUUUUCAACAAGAAACUCCGCGGGAAAUUUAAAAUUGAAUUUUAGUAAACUAAACCGGCCGUAUUAGCAUGUGUUGCAAUGUUAAUAUUUCAUCAUUGAUAUAUAAACUAUCAGACUGCGUGGUCGGUAGUAGUGGGUUUCAGUAGGCCUCUAAUGGCUUAUAUAUACCUUCUAAUCACUGACAUGGAUAUGGAAUCACUCUUAAAAGCCUACUGAAAUGAGAUUUUUUUUAUUCAAACGGGGAUAGCAGGUUCAUUCUAUGUGUCAUACUUGAUCAUUUCGCAAUAUUGCCAUAUUUUUGCUGAAAGGAUUUAGUAGAGAACAUCGACAAUAAAGUUCGCAACUUUUGGUUGCUAACAGAAAAGCCCUGCCUUUACCGGAAGUAGCAGACAAUGACGUCACAAGGGUGAUGGCUCCUCACAUCCUCACAUUGCUUUUAAUGGGAGCCUCCAACAAAAAUAGCUAUUCGGACCGAGAAAACGACAAUUUCCCCAUUAAUUCGAGCGAGGAUGAAAGAUUCGUGUUUGAGGAUAUUGAUAGCGACGGACUACAAAAAAAUAAAAAUCAUGUUAAAAAAAACGCGAUUGCAUUCUGAUGUUUUUAGACACAUUUACUAGGAUAAUUCUGGGAAAUCCCUUAUCUUUCUAUUGUGUUGCUAGUGUUUUAGUGAGUUUAAUAGUACCUGAUAGUCGGAGGGGUGUGUCCACGGGUGUGUUGACGCCAGUGUCUGAGGGAAGUUGACGGCAGCUGUACGGACGGCACAAGCUCAGCUGAUCUCCGGUAAGAGGCGACUUUUUACCACAAUUUUCUCACCGAAAACUGCUGGUUGACAUGUAGUCGGGAUCCAUGUUCGCUUGACCACUCUGAUCCAUAGUAAAGUUUCACCUCCGGGAAUUUUAAACAAGGAAUCACCGUGUGUUUGUGUGGCUAAAGGCUAAAGCUUCCCAACUCCAUCUUUCUACUUUGACUUCUCCAUUAUUAAUUGAACAAAUUGCAAAAAAUUCAGCAACACAGAUGUCCAGAAUACUGUUUAAUAAUGCGAUUUUUAGCUGUGUGUGUGCGCAACGCUGAUAUUUCCUAACAGUCCGCGACGUCACGCGUACACGUCAUCAUUCUGCAACGUUUUCAACAGGACACUUCGCGGGAAAUUUAAAAUUGUAAUUUAGUCAACUAAAAAGGCCGUAUUGGCAUGUGUUGCAAUGUUAAUAUUUCAUCAUUGAUAUAUAAACUUUCAGACUGCGUGGUCUCUAGUUGUGGGUUUCAGUAGCCCUUUAAUGUUUGAAUAAUGAACCGCUUUGGCUCUUUCUUGGCACUCAGUCUUCACACUUCAAUCGUGUUAGACAACAGAUUAAAUCUGUCCACCACCUUCCCAGCACAUCUCCCGCCUAUUUAAUCACACCUUUUUAUUUACAUCCUCUUACUAGGAAAGGGAAGAAUAAUGAGCAAGGACACUCCUGGCUGUCAGUUAAUGCGAAACGGCCUUCGUUCGCUGCUAAUAGAAAAUGGAGAACAAGGCGGUUGGCAAAUCUAGUUCUCUCAAGCAAUCAGAUUUUUCAGAUAGCCUCUUUUUAAUUGCAUCAUUCAUACGUCUUGGCGGAGCCUGAAAUUAAAAUAUAUAUAUAUAUUCAUAAUGGUUUUCAUCAACACAAUGACCACUUCCAGCUGUCUCCAAGGGUGAUGAAUCCAUAGCCGCCACACAAUAGCGAUAUUCAAUUUGCCGUAACAAAGAUAUGGAAUACUAAAACCAAUUUCCGAGCGGUUAGGUAAUAUACUGUGUGAGUCGCACAAUCUGCUGUCACCAUGGAGACACUCAUUUAGUGCACAUUCAGGUUAACAUGCUCCUACUUGUGGGGGUUUUGCUAUUUCGUGAAACAUGCAGCAGACCAUUAUGUACCACUCGAGCCACAUGUGGCUCUUUAGUCCCGCCCUAAUGGCUCCCUGGAGCAUUUUUUUAAAAAAGCAUUGAAAAUGGAAAAAUAUUGUUUUUGUUUUAGUAUGUUUUUUGAUUGAGGACAAACAUGACACACAUCUUCCCGAUUAUUAGAAAGCCCACUGUUUAAUAUGUUUGUGUGUAUGCCUCACUGAUGAGAGUAUUUGGUGAACAUCGUUUUGUGUUACUGAUUUCGUCCGUAUUUGAACUCACCGUAGCGUGGACUCUGACGCAACAGUCUGUUUACAUGUGAAAUCUUUCACUCCUUUGUCUCAUUUUGUCCAACAAAAGUUUAAUACUGUGCAUGAAUGCACAAAGGUGCCUUUUGUUGAUGUUAUUGACUUCUUUGAGUGCUAAUCAGGCAUAUUUGGUCAGUGCAUGACUGCAAGCUAAUCAAUGCUUUUUUUCCUGGGAGACUCACGAAUUUCAGUGCCCCUCCCGAAAAUCUCCCGGGGCAACCAUUCUCCCGAUUUCCGCCUGGACAAAAAUAAUGGGGGCGUGCCUUAAAGGUACUGCCUUUAACGUACUCUACAACCUGUCGUCAAGUCCGUUUUCCCUCCUUAGAAACAUAGUGCCAGCCUAAUCAUAUAUAUAUAUAUAUACACACACACACACAUGUACAUGAAUCAUUUUGACUCAUAAGGACCCCUACAGUUAACCACCAUUAAUACGUCAUAAUGAGAGAAAGUGGUUCUUAAGUGGAGCCAAACUUGCGGCGCCUGAGAAAGCCUUCCGGCAUAACAAUACAUCUCGCUGAUCACACGAUACAGCGUUUAUAUUGUCAGAUAUUUCUUUUUACUGUUGUAGUCCUCAGGCGGCACAGUUGCAUGGGUUAUCACGUCUACGUCCUCUGAAGGUGUGAAUAGGAGUGUCUUUCUAUGAUGUGCCGGCCCUGUGAUUGGCUGGUGAUCAGUCCGUGCUGGACGACACCGGGUCCUCUGGGAUAGGCUCCAGCGUCUCUGGGACCGUGAAGAGAAAGGCGGCAUUGGUAAUGGACACCGGGGUUGUACCCGAGUGUUUUAUACAAUCAUAUUCUUCAGAACAGGACGCCACCAGCCUUUCUGAUUCGCUCUCUAGUGUCUUCGGAACAAAUUCUAGUGAGAGAAUAAUCAAACAGCGGUGAUCCAUUCUCUUUUGUAAUAAACAAUGGGGUUUCAAGGCCCCGCUGAAAUUAAUGAAUUACACAGCUUUAAACAAAACUGAUUGGAAUUAAGGGUUGUUGUUUUUUUGCAAAAUCCAAAAAAAUGCUCCCUUUGUGUCUCAGCAGAUGGCGUGUUGGUAACCGGUUUGAUUGACAGUCGCAUGCAAGUGACCAAAUUGUCACCAUACCACACUAACAUCUAACGGUGUAAAAAAAAAAUGUGUUUCUCAAUUUUUUAUUGCCUAUAUGUGUGGUAGCCUUAAAGGGGAACAUUAUCACCAGACCUAUGUAAGCGUCAAUAUAUACCUUGAUGUUGCAGAAAAAAGACCAUAUGUUUUUUUAACCGAUUUCCGAACUCUAAAAGGGUGAAUUUGACGAUUGAAACGCCUUUAAAUUGUUUGCUGUCGGAGUAAUGACCUUUCACCCGUGACGUCACAACCGGAAGCAAUCCGCCAUUUUCUCAAACACAUUACACACACCAAGUCAAAUCAGCUCUGUUAUUUUCCGUUUUUUCGACUGUUUUCCGUACCUUGGAGACAUUAUGAUUCGUGGGUGUGUUGUCGGAGGAUGUAACAAAACGAUCAGGGACGGAUUCAAGUUGAGUUACGUGGAGUGUGCUAAUCAGACAUCAAUGGUCACGGCGUGCUAAUCGAUGCUAACAUGCUAUUUAGGCUAGCUGUAUGUACAUAUUGCAUCAUUAUGCCUCAUUUGUUGCUAUAUUUGCAUCCAGCCUUUCCUUUCACCCACAUUUAAUGCCAAACAAACACAUACCAAUCGACAAAUUCAAGUUGCACCGCAACAGUGGUCAAAAGAUGCGACAGUCCCUCGCACGCUUUACCGACGAUAGUGAUGCUACGACAGAUAUGUGAGGAUAUCCUGCAACACUCAAAGCAGAUGCAUUUCCAACGAUAAAGUCAACGAAAUCACAAAGGUGAGUUUUGUGGAUGUUAUUGACUUAUGUGCUAAUCAGACAUAUUUGGUCACGGCAUGACUGCCAGCUAAUCGAUGCUAACAUGCUAUUUAGGCUAGCUGUAUGUACAUAUCGCAUCAUUAUGCCUCAUUUGUAGCUAUAUUUGCAUCCAGCCUUUCCCUCCACCCACAUUUAAUGCCAAACAAACACAUACCAAUCGACGGAUUCAAGUUGCACCAGUUGUCAAAAGAUGCAAUCGUUGGUUAGAAGGUGGUCGCAGAAUUCGUCCUCGCUUCCUCCUGUGCCGCUGUCUGUCGUGAUAUGCCUCAAUAGCUUCAGUUUAUUCUUCAAUUCUGUUUUUGCUAUCUGCCUCCACACUACACCCUUCCGUUUCAAUACAUGCGUAAUCUGUUGAAUUGCUUAAACCACUGAAAUCCGAGUCAGAAUCCGAGCUAAUGUCGCUAUAUCUUUCUGUUCUAUCCGGCAUGUUUGUUUGUAUUGGCGUCACGCAGUGACGUCACAGGAAAAUGGAUGGGUGGAUAUAGCGAUGGUGAAAAUUAGGCACUUUGAAGCUUUUUUUCGGGAUAUUGCGUGAUGGGUAAAAUUUUGAAAAAAACUUUGAAAAUUAAAAUAAACCACUGGGAACUGAUUUUUAUUGGUUUUAACCCUUCUGAAAUUGUGAUAAUGUUCCCCUUUCAGUGUAACUGCGACUCAUUUGGCCAAAGUCCCUGGGACGAGUUUGUUAAAGUAUGAUCCUUUUUAUCGCCAAAAAACGGCCAAAAAUCACUGCAGCAAAGUUUGGCACCAAACAAUGCUAUCAUUCGUAGAAACAAUGCGUUUGCAAUUCCUGUGAAGGAGGCCUUCGGGCCUGAUCUACAUGGAGGUUUGGGUGUUUUAAACCACGUGCAAACUUGAUAGUGCAUGCACAGCUGAUCUACUCAGCUCUGAGAAAUGCGUCUCUUAAAGGAACAAAAUAGAGAGUGAAGUUACAAAAAUAAUCAAUUAGAAUUUAGCACAGCCAAUGUGAUUCAUCAAGGUUGUUUUGCGUCUAAAAUUAGCCCGUGCAAAAUGUGCGUGCAAACUGGCACAGUGAAGAAGGAAGCGAUCGCACUGUAAAGACUCAAUUGAGAGAGAAUCCGGUGUAAGUGUCGAUUUGGACUAUCGUAAAGAAAAACACAUUAAGCAAUAUUAUUUUAUAAUUUUAUAACUCCUUGAUAACUAAAUGGUCUGACUAAUGCAGCGCCUCCCAAAGCGCACCGUCUGUGUACUGAAAAAUAGGAUCUGUUAUCGCUAUCAUCCAUCCAUUUUCUACUGCUUGUCCCUUUUGGGGUCGCUGGAGCCUAUCUCAGCUGCAUUCCGCCGUUAGGCGGAGUACACCCUGGACAAGUCUCCACUUCAUCGCAGGGCCAACACAGAUAGACAGACAACAUUCACACACUAGGGCCAAUUUAGUGUUGCCAAUCAACCUAUCCCCAGGUCUUCAUCAAUGAUUCUCAAACUGUGGUACCAUCUAGUGGUAUACCAAAUAAUCCCUUAAUUAAAUAUUCAAACACAGUGUCACUGUUCAAACUGUGUUUAAAAUAUUAAAUGUACUUGCUAAAACAUCUGCCUUGUUUUCAAUGAAUAUUUUGGCCUACCAUGCUACUGAAUUCUAUUGUUUGUCAUUAUAGUGGUAUUCGGAAAGCCAAAUAUUUUCUGAGGCGGUACUUAGAGAAAAAAGUUUUAGAACUUACUUACUGUCGCUCACAUUUUUAAUGUAUAUAGCCCAGAAAAGGCGAUACAUAUUUUACGUGUGUGCUGCAUGUCAACAACAUGACAAAACGCCACAGGUGGGAGCAUGUUCCCAUACAUGUGGAGGGAAAUGAGUAUCUCCAUGGUCACAGCUGCUACACGGGCAAAAACCUCAUUUAAAAAGGGCAGUGUUUAUCACUCUUGCGAUUGUUAUUCAUUGUACACGUCUUGGUGAAUCACAUGCAACACAUUCACUAAUAGAACCCACAAUUUUACAGUUUGCACAUGCUAUUUAAGGCCUACUGAAACCCACUACUACCGACCACGCAGUCUGAUAGUUUAUAUAUCAAUGAUGAAAUAUUAACAUUGCAACACAUGCCAGUACGGGCGGUUUAGUUUACUAAAUUACAAUUUUAAAUUUCCCACGGAGUUUCCUGUUGAAAACGUUGCGGAAUGAUGACGCAUGUCUGUGACAUUAUUGGUUGGAGGGGACAUAUUAGCCCAGCACCACUUGCGGCUAAAAGUUGUCUCUUUUCAUCGCAUAAUUACACAGUAUUUUGGACGUCUGUGUUGCUGAAUCUUUUGCAAUUUGUUCAAUUAAUAAUGGAGACUAUAAAGGAGAAUGCUGUUGGUGGAAAGCGGUGGAUUGCAGCUGCCUUUAGCAACCGAAACACAGCCGGUGUUUCUUUGUUUGUUGUGAAGCUUUAACACAGAGUGGUCAAGCAAACAUGUUUCUCUACGUCAACCAGCAAGUUUUUGGAUGGGAAAAUUGUGAUAUUAAGUUGGCUCUUACCGGAGACUUGAGUGGAUUACGCGACCUCGUCCUGCAGCUCAAAAAGGCAGCUGUGAUCUUGGCUAACCUGCUUCUCUCGGAGACACUGGCGUUCACCACAGCCAUCCGACUUUCAGGUAUGACUUUAUAAUCUCACUAAAAUACUAUUAAAACAAUAAGCAGAUUUUAAGGUUUUCCUACUUACGUAUAAAAUACUACAUGAUCUAGCUCCAUCCUAUCUUGCCGAUUGUAUUGUACCAUAUGUACCGGCAAGAAAUCUGCGUUCAAAGGACUCCGGCUUAUUAGGGAUUCCCAGAGCCCAAAAAAAGUCUGCGGGCUAUAGAGCGUUUUCUGUUCGGGCUCCAGUACUCUGGAAUGCCCUCCCGGUAACAGUUCGAGAUGCCACCUCAGUAGAAGCAUUUAAGUCUCAUCUUAAAACUCAUUUGUAUACUCUAGCCUUCAAAUAGACUCCCUUUUUGGACCAGUUGAUCUGCCGUUUCUUUUCUUUUUCUCCUAUGUCCCAGUCUCCCUUGUGGAGGGGGUCCGGUCCGAUGUCCAUGGAUGAAGUUCUGGCUGUCCAGAGUCGGGACCCAGGAUGGACCACUCGUCUGGAGUCUGGACCCAGGAUGGACCGCUUGCCUGUGUAUCGGCUGGGGACAUCUCUGCGCUGCUGAUCCGCCUCCGCUUGGGAUGGUUUCCUGCUGGCUCCGCUGUGGACGGGACUCUCGCUGCUGUGUUGGAUCCGCUUUGGACUGGACUCUCGCGGCUGUGUUGGAUCCACUACGGACUGAACUUUUCACAGUAUCAUGUUAGACACGCUCGACAUUCAUUGCUUUCGGGGGUGUUGCCCACAUAUGUGGUCCUCUCCAAGGUUCUCAUAGUUCUCAUUGUCACCGACAUCCCACUGGGUGUGAGUUUUCCUUGCCCUUAUGUGGGCCUACCGAGGAUGUCGUAGUGGUUUGUGUUGUGGUUUGUGCAGCCCUUUGAGACACUAGUGAUUUAGGGCUCUAUAAAUGAACAUUGAUUGAUUUUCCAAAAUUAUCCUAGUAAAUGUGUCUAAUUAUAUCUGAAACGCUCCGACUGCCGCCGCCUGGAGCCCUCGCUUUUUCUUUUUUCUUCUUUUUUUUUUUUAGUGCUUCACUCUAACUUUCCUCAUCCACGAAUCUUUCAUCCUCGCUCAAAUUAAUGGGGGAAUCGUCGCUUUCUCGGUCCGAAUUGAUCUUACUGCUGGUGGCUCACAUUAUAAACAAUGUGAGUAUAUGAGGAGCCCUCACACUGGUGACGUCACACGCACAUCGUCUGCUACUCCCGGUACAGGCAAGGCUUUUUUAUUAGCAACCAAAAGUUGCGAACUUUAUCGUCGAUGUUCUCUACUAAAUCCUUUCAGCAAAAAUAUGGCAAUAUCGCGAAAUGAUCAAGUAUGACACAUAGAAUAGACCUGCUAUCCCCGUUUAAAUAAGAAAAUCUCAUUUCAGUAGGCCUUUAGCACUUAUUCUAACCUGAGUAGAUCACAUCCUUACAUGGAUGCAUCUAGAUGGGAUGUUUUCCGGUUAGAUUAGUAUUUUUGAGGAGACAGGUGCUGGGGGGAAUGACUUAGAAGAAUGACAAUUGGGAGGAUUGUUGUUUAUCCUUCCAGCAGAGUGAAAACCCCUCUAAUAAAUACCCAGAGAGCAUUGUGGCUUUUGCGGUUUGGUUUUACAAUUCUGGGGCACCGUCUUCCGUGCAAUUUGAACUUGCGUUGACCACAACAAGGCAAACCUUUCAAUCAAGGCAGGCGAAGCAUCCAUUCAUCCAUAUUCUACCGCUUGUCCCUCUCAGGGUUGCAGGUGUGCUGGAGCGUAUCGCAGUUUAGGAUUUAAUUCAAAUAUGCAAAUGUAGACAAUAAUACUGAACAAAAUGUUUAAAAAAUGUUUUGUUAUCAAUAAUCAUACAGAACAUUCAAACACGUUUUCAUUACCUAAACCACAAAUGUCAAACUAUAUCAUUUUAUAUGGCUCGUGAACGCCUUGAAAUUAAAUGCAUCAAUAAAGUACCCAUUAUUUUCUUCCUAAAUGCAUUCGGUUUUUUACAUGUACUGCGUGAAAUUGCAUACAUUUAAAAUUGUACUAAUAUCCAAUAUUGCAAAAAAUAUGGUUUAAUAAUACUUUCCAAUAAUUUUUUUCGUUUAAAAUAAAGAUAAAUACCUACAUUUCAAAGCAAGUUAUCAAUCAAGUUGUACAAUUUAAAAAUUAACAGAGAAUUUACGGUAAAAUGUAGUGUUUUUAACAAAAUAUUACUGUAAACUGAAAUAAACUAACAUUUUUAUUUCUACAGUAAAAUUUCUGUCGACUGAGACAGUUUUUUUGUACCGUAAAAUUGACGGUUGUUUUUUUCACGGUGUAUUACUGUGAAUGGAAAAACAGUAUCACAUUUAUUUACAGUAAAAAAAUGGUAUCUGAGUUGCCCAUCCAUCCAUCCAUUUUACAUCCAUCCAUUUUCUACCGCUUAUAUUCUUUUGGGGUCGCGGGGCCGCUGGCGCCUAUUUCAGCUACAAUCGGGCGGAAGGCGGGGUACACCCUGGACAAGUCGCCACCUAAUCGCAAAGCCAACAGAGACAGACAACAUUCACACUCACAUUCACACACUAGGGCCCAUUUAGUGUUGCCAAUCAACCUAUUGCCAAUAUAUGAAUAAAAGAAACGGUGAUACUGUUUAUUUUCUAUUUACAAUAUUAUGUUGGUGUCAGGCUAUUCCUGACUGUUUGUCUAUGUUUUAGUUUUUUCCUCUGCAUUUGUCUGUUUCCUCUGUUUAGUAUUUCCUGUAUUUAGUUCCUGUCGUGCUCUUAUUUUGGUUCAGCUUCCUGUUUGUCUCCCUGUGUCCUGUUUUCACUCAGCUGCGGCUGAUUGGCAUCUGGUCACACCUGAUGUCAAUCGGCCAGCUCCUAUUUUACCUGCUUUGUUCCUCCAGUCAGUGCUGGAUCAUUGUAUUGCAUUGUCGUUGCCACAUGUCACUCUUGUCGUGCUACCUGUCGCGUCAUUUUGUUGCAGCUACUACCUGUCGUGCUACAUUUUGUCCUGGUCGUCGUAGCGGUAAGCUGUUUCUUGUUAGCCAUUAGUUAUUUCCAGUUUUUCUGUUUGCUAUCCUCUAGCUUCCAUGCUAAAGUUCCUUUUUGUUUUCUAGCUUCCUGUGCUAGCUCCCUUAGUUUGUUAUUCCGCCCACGUGUGUGCUUUUUGUUUGUUCUUGUUUAGUUUUAAUUAAAUCAUGUUUUCAUAUUCUA